rnacentral:rRNA from 1 species
AGUGAACGCUGGCGGUAGGCCUAACACAUGCAAGUCGAACGGCAGCACAGUAAGAGCUUGCUCUUACGGGUGGCGAGUGGCGGACGGGUGAGGAAUACAUAGGAAUCUACUUUUUCGUGGGGGAUAACGUAGGGAAACUUACGCUAAUACAGCAUACGACCUACGGGUGAAAGCAGGGGAUAUUCGGACCUUGCGCGAUUGAAUGAGCCGAUGUCGGAUUAGCUAGUUGGCGGGGUAAAGGCACACCAAGGCGACGCUCCGUAGCUGGUCUGAGAGGAUGAUCAGCCACACUGGAACUGAGACACGGUCCAGACUCCUACGGGAGGCAGCAGUGGGGAAUAUUGGACAAUGGGCGCAAGCCUGAUCCAGCCAUACCGCGUGGGUGAAGAAGGCCUUCGGGUUGUAAAGCCCUUUUGUUAGGAAAGAAAAGCAGCAGGUUAAUACCCCGCUGUUCUGACGGUACCCAAAGAAUAAGCACCGGCUAACUUCGUG